UACAGAGACUGCAAGUGUUAUUCGGAUUCACUGGGCGUAAAGGGUGCGCAGGCGGUUGGGUGUGUCAGAUGUGAAAUCCCGAGGCUUAACCUCGGAACUGCGUCUGAAACUACUCGACUAGAGUACUGGAGAGGGUAACGGAAUUCACGGUGUAGCAGUGAAAUGCGUAGAUAUCGUGAGGAACACCAGAGGCGAAGGCGGUUACCUGGACAGUUACUGACGCUCAGGCACGAAAGCAUGGGGAGCAAAAGGG
rnacentral:rRNA from 1 species